GGAAGACACUAUGAGCAGAUGGUGGAUGCCUCGGCGCUGCGUGCCGAUGAAGGACGUGGCAUAGCUGCGAUAAGCGUGGGGGAGCCGCGAGCGGGCGUUGAUCCUACGAUCUCCGAAUGGGGCAACCCCCUGGCCUGCGGGCCAGGACCGCCGUUAGGCGGAGGGCACCGGGGGAACUGAAACAUCUCACGUACCCCGAGGAACAGAAAUCAUCCCCGUAGUAGCGGCGAGCGAACCGGGGGCAGCCUAAACCGUGGUCGUGUCAAGCCGGCAGGCCUUGCGACCGCGGGGUUGGAAGACAUCAAUCGGUGUGCUGCCGCGCACCAAUCGUGAGCUCACACUCUAUCCGAAGACGUCUGGAAAGCGUCGCCAUAGACCGUGACAGCCGGGUAGGAGACAGGGCCGUGACCCGAUCUGAUGCUCUUGAGUAGCGCCGAACACGAGCAAUUCGGCGUGAAGCUGGGGGGCCCACCUCCCAAGGCUACAUACACGCAGUGACCGAUAGCGCACAGUACCGUGAGGGAACGGUGAAAAGAACCCCGGCGAGGGGAGUGAAAUAGAUCCUGAAACCGUCUGCUUCCGUGCAGUCGAAGGGGUAGGGCGUAAGCCACCCUGACGGCGUGCCUUUUGGAGUAUGAUCCGACGAGUUACCCUCAGUGGCCGGUUAAGCCAGUCAUAGGCGGAGCCACAGCGAAAGCGAGUGUGAAUAGCGCGUGUGUCGCUGGGGGUAGACCCGAAACCGCUUGAGCUAUCCAUGGUCAGGCUGAAGCGUCCGUAACAGGACGUGGAGGGCCGCACCGGUGUAGGUUACAAACUGCUCGGAUGAACUGUGGAUAGGGGUGAAAUGCCAAUCGAAAGCGGAGAUAGCUGGUUCUCCCCGAAAUGCAUUGAGGUGCAGCCCGGGCUUUGGCGCUGCUUGAGGUAGAGCACUGUUGUUGUGCGGGGGCUUCACCGCCUACCAAGCGACGGCAAACUCCGAAUGCAAGUAGCGUACCCCCGGAGUGAGACAGUGGGCGCAAACGUUCAUUGUCAAAAGGGAAACAACCCAGACCUGCAGCUAAGGUCCCGAAAUCCAUGCUGAGUGGCAAAGGAUGUGUCGUUGCACAAACAACCAGGAGGUUGGCUUAGAAGCAGCCACCCUUGAAAGAGUGCGUAACAGCUCACUGGUCGAGUGAUCUUGCGCGGACAAUGUAACGGGGCUCAAGUUCAGUACCGAAGCCGCGGAUGCGACUCUUUGAGUCGUGUGGUAGCGGAGCGUCGAGCGUGCAGCGAAGCGGCGGGACAACCCAGCCGUGGAGCGCGUUCGAGUGCGAAUGUUGGCAUGAGUAGCGAAUGAGGGGUGAGAACCCCCUCCGCCGUAUGUCCAAGGGUUCCUGGGCGAGGCCAAUCCUCCCAGGGUGAGUCGGGAGCUAAGGCGAGGCCGAGAGGCGUAGUCGAUGCACAACUGGUUGAUAUUCCAGUACCACCAUGUUCGCGUCCGUCCCAAUACUCUGUUGCUAAGGGGCUGUGUUGACUUCGGUCAACGCGAACCGACCCACAUUGUUGCGGGAAGCUGUAGGGGGACGCAGGAAGGUAGAUGAACCCGGUGAAUGGUAGAACCGGGGUAAGCGUGUAGGAGGAGGACCAGGUAAAUCCGGGCCUCAUAAACUCUGAGACGUGAUACCGAGCCGCUUCAGGCGAAGUCAUUGAUCCUAUGCUGCCUAGAAAAGCCCAGCAGCGAGUUGACAUGGUGCCCGUACCCCAAACCAACACAGGUGGACAGGUAGAGCAUACCAAGGCGAGUGGGAUAACUAUGGUUAAGGAACUCGGCAAAUUGCCUCCGUAACUUCGGGAGAAGGAGGACCCCAGUAGCGUGAUGAGACUUGCUCUCUGAGCGUGAAGGGGUGGCACAAAAUUGAGGGAAGCGACUGUUUACCAAAAACACAGCAGCGUGCUAAGCCGUAAGGCGCUGUAUACGCUGUGACUCCUGCCCGGUGCUGGAAGGUUACGGGGAUGGGUUAGUCCUUCGGGACGAAGCUCUGAACCUAAGCCCCAGUAAACGGCGGCCGUAACUAUAACGGUCCUAAGGUAGCGAAAUUCCUUGUCGGGUAAGUUCCGACCUGCACGAAUGGCGUA
rnacentral:rRNA from 1 species